rnacentral:rRNA from 1 species
GAUGAACGCUGGCGGCGUGCCUAAUACAUGCAAGUCGAGCGAACAGACGAGGAGCUUGCUCCUCUGACGUUAGCGGCGGACGGGUGAGUAACACGUGGAUAACCUACCUAUAAGACUGGGAUAACUUCGGGAAACCGGAGCUAAUACCGGAUAAUAUAUUGAACCGCAUGGUUCAAUAGUGAAAGACGGUUUUGCUGUCACUUAUAGAUGGAUCCGCGCCGCAUUAGCUAGUUGGUAAGGUAAAGGCUUACCAAGGCAACGAUGCGUAUCCGACCUGAGAGGGUGAUCGGCCACACGAGAACUGAGACACGGUCCAGACUCCUACGGGAGGCAGCAGUAGGGAAUCUUCCGCAAUGGGCGAAAGCCUGACGGAGCAACGCCGCGUGAGUGAUGAAGGUCUUCGGAUCGUAAAACUCUGUUAUUAGGGAAGAACAAAUGUGUAAGUAACUAUGCACGUCUUGACGGUACCUAAUCAGAAAGCCACGGCUAACUACGUG